rnacentral:misc_RNA from 1 species
GAUGAAGAACGUAGCGAAACGCGAUAUGUAAUGUGAAUUGCAGAAUUCAGUGAAUCAUCGAAUCUUUGAACGCACAUGGCGCCUUCCAGUAUCCUGGGAGGCAUGUCUGUCCGAGCGUCGUUUCAACCCUCGAGCCCCCGUGGCCCGGCGUUGGGGAUCUGCCACGGCAGGCCCCUAAAACCAGUGGCGGACCCGAAGGCCCUCUCCUUUGCGCAGUAGCAUCAGCCUCGCAUUGGGAUCCCUCGGCGUCCUGCCUCUAAACCCCCCACAAGUCCGCUCCGGCGGCACCAAGGUUGACCUCAGAUCAGGUAGGAAUACCCGCUGAACUUAAGCAUAUCAAUAAGCGGAGGA